UGUUUCCAUUCUAAAAAAACAGAACGACUAGCAGGGUUGGUUGCAAUUCUUCUCGGUUGUGUCCAAUGGCGGCUGCUGAUGAUAUUGGUUAUGAUGUGUUCGAGCAGAUCUUCAUACGAUUGGGUGUGGAAGAUCUGAUGAGAUGCAAGUGCGUUAUCAUUGAAGAGUAGUUGAGUGGUGCUGCUAUAGAGUUCAACUAGGCUUCAUGAGAAACCAUGAUCACUCGAAUCUAGCUAGAAAUUGAUCAGAUUCCAGAAUUCCUCUUCCAUCAAUCAAUAGGUAAGUAAUAAGUAUUAAUUAGAUAGUCGGGUUCCAGUCCAGAGGUGUUGUCCAACUAGUUGACUAGACAUAGAUUCUGAAGGCUGGAUACCAUGUUGGGGCCAUUAACAUACUAUCAUGAGGGAGAAGUGAAAUAAUAUGUUCCCAUAUGCUGCAAAACUUACUACUAAGACUGUAUAAGAGUUAAAAAAUGAGCAGAGCAGGGAAGAGGAAAGGGAAGAUCAGUGAGAGUGUGAAUGAAGCAGGUAAUGCUGAGUGAUGAAACAACAAGGAUAUUUGCGCAAUAUCAAAAGCGUCUUUGUUCUUCUGUUAAUCAAGCAAAGGAUGCCUAGAGGCUGGAGAUUGAUUAUCCAGUAAAUGGUUUUCAAGUGGAGAAUGAGAAAAGGAUGGAAAUCUACUGAAGAUGUAUUUCAUUUAGAAACAAGCAGGGAAAGGAAUAUCAGUGCGCCAUAUGAAGGAUCGAGUUGGUAUCCAUUUGAACCUGCAACGGAAACUGGCAACUUACGUAUUGAUGUCGAGGGGGAUAUACCUAAUGAGGUCCGUAAUGUGAUUCUCAAUUAAUAUUCUUAAAAGUCCCCAUGAGUUACUACUUACACUCAGCGGCUGAAAUAUCUGAUUUCUAAAGCAAUGUGCUACACCUAAACAUUAAGGUUAAAUUUCCUUUUUACUAGGAAUAGUUUAUUAAUCAAUUCAUUUUAUCGUCA